rnacentral:rRNA from 1 species
GUUGGUGGAGUGAUUUGUCUGGUUAAUUCCGUUAACGAACGAGACCUCGACCUGCUAAAUAGUUCGUUCAACAGCUUGUUCUGUUGUUCGGGACUUCUUAGAGGGACUAUGGGUGUGUAGCCCAUGGAAGUUCGAGGCAAUAACAGG